rnacentral:rRNA from 1 species
AUUGAACGCUGGCGGCAGGCCUAACACAUGCAAGUCGAACGAGUGGCGGACGGGUGAGUAAUGUCUGGGAAACUGCCCGAUGGAGGGGGAUAACUACUGGAAACGGUAGCUAAUACCGCAUACCAUCAGAUGUGCCCAGGUGGUAUUAGCUAGUAGGUGGGGUAACGGGUCACCUAGGCGACGAUCCCUAGCUGGUCUGAGAGGAUGACCAGCCACACUGGAACUGAGACAAGGGCCAGACUCCUACGGGAGGCAGCAGUGGGGAAUAUUGCACAAGGGGCGCAAGCCUGAUGCAGCCAUGCCGCGUGUGUGAAGAAGGCCUUCGGGUUGUAAAGGACGUUCAGCGAGGAGGCGUUACUCGAAGAAGAAGCACCGGCUAACUCCGUGCCAGCAGCCGCGGUAAUUC